rnacentral:rRNA from 1 species
CAUGGGGGAACCCUGNAUGCAGCGACGCCGCGUGGAGGAAGAAGGUUUUCCGAUUGUAAACUCCUGUCGUUAGGGACGAUAAUGACGGUACCUAACAAGAAAGCACCGGCUAACUACGUGCCAGCAGCCGCGGUAAAACGUAGGGUGCAAGCGUUGUCCGGAAUUACUGGGUGUAAAGGGAGCGCAGGCGGGAAGACAAGUUGGAAGUGAAAACCAUGGGCUCAACCCAUGAAUUGCUUUCAAAACUGUUUUUCUUGAGUAGUGCAGAGGUAGGCGGAAUUCCCGGUGUAGCGGUGGAAUGCGUAGAUAUCGGGAGGAACACCAGUGGCGAAGGCGGCCUACUGGGCACCAACUGACGCUGAGGCUCGAAAGUGUGGGUAGCAAACAGGAUUAGAUACCCUGGUAGUCCAAGGGCGAAUUC